rnacentral:rRNA from 1 species
UACGGAGGGGGCGAGCGUUGUCCGAAGUUACUGGGCGUAAAGGGCGCGUAGGCGGGAGUUUAAGUCCGCUGUGAAAGCCCGGGGCUCAACCCCGGAGGGUCGGUGGAGACUGGACUUCUUGAAAGGGCUAGGGGGAGAUGGAAUUACCGGUGUAGCGGUGAAAUGCGUAGAUAUCGGUAGGAACACCAGUGGCGAAGGCGGUCUCCUGGGGCCUGUUUGACGCUGAGGCGCGAAAGCUGGGGGAGCCAACGGG